rnacentral:rRNA from 1 species
GACGAACGCUGGCGGCGCGCCUAACACAUGCAAGUCGAACGGGGUUAUGCUAGAUGAAGUUUUCGGAUGGAAUUUGGUAUAACCUAGUGGCGGACGGGUGAGUAACACGUGAGCAACCUGCCUAUCAGAGGGGGAUAACGAUUGGAAACGAUCGCUAAUACCGCAUGACAUAGCGGAAUCGCAUGGUUCUGUUAUCAAAGAUUUUAUCGCUGAUAGAUGGGCUCGCGUCCGAUUAGAUAGUUGGUGGGGUAAUGGCCUACCAAGUCGACGAUCGGUAGCCGGACUGAGAGGUCGAACGGCCACAUUGGGACUGAGACACGGCCCAGACUCCUACGGGAGGCAGCAGUGGGGGAUAUUGCACAAUGGGGGAAACCCUGAUGCAGCGACGCCGCGUGAGGGAAGACGGUCCUCUGGAUUGUAAAGCUCUGUCUUCGGGGACGAUAAUGACGGUACCCGAGGAGGAAGCCACGGCUAACUACGUGCCAGCAGCCGCAGUAA